rnacentral:rRNA from 1 species
UACGUAGGGGGCAAGCGUUGUCCGGAAUCAUUGGGCGUAAAGCGCGUGUAGGCGGCCCGAUAAGUCCGCUGUGAAAGUCCAGGGCUCAACCCUGGAAUGCCGGUGGAUACUGUCGGGCUCGAGUCCGGAAGAGGCGAGUGGAAUCCCUGGUGUAGCGGUGAAAUGCGCAGAUAUCAGGAGGAACACCGAUGGCGAAGGCAGCUCGCUGGGACGGUACUGACGCUGAGACGCGAAAGCGUGGGGAGCAAACAGG